AGUAUGUAUGUUCAUGGCUUCCCCAUCUUCCAGUACUUGUGCACUCAGUGCUCCACCACCAUUUUACUUUGAUGAGAAGUGGAAACUUUUGAAGAAAGAAGAGUCAUCUAGAAGCCACUUCUCCACUGCUCCUUUCAUGUAGACUUCUCCAGAGAAGGUGUACUUUUACCGAAAGUGUGCUAGGCUUGUGAAGGAGCAGAGAGCAAGGUUCUACACCAUCUUUAAUUCUACGAGAUUGUUCUCAGGAGCAUUAUAAGUUGCCAGAUAAAUAAACCUCAACGCCUAUGGUUCUUAUAGAAAUGACAAAAGAUUGAGCAGAAAGGACAUGAAGGAAAGAAAUGCAGCAAAGCAGCAGUAAGUAACUUAAAGCCCUUUAUGUACAAGAGAGAAGGAGAGCUCCAAUGGAUCAAGUACAAAUAUCCUUUGACACACGAAAGAGACUAGACAAAUCCCAAGAGUUUACUCACGACCACCUUUCUUUCUGUGGUUGUAAAGACAGAUCCAGACGGGCAUGUCAGACGAAGGUGACGAAGAUGAAAGUUGAAAUGGGUUUCGGUUGGCUUGAAAACCAAGCUUGAAGACGAAGGUCGUUCUAAUUUAUUUAGAUGAAGGAGGCUUCACUUUUUUAAUUUUUAAAGACAUACAACGUAGCAUGCCACGUAUAGCGGGAAGGGGGAGUGGGACAUUGCGAGCGGUGGGCGUAGCAUUUUACUUUAAAAUAAUGGCUUUGACAGAGCAGUCCACAUCGGAUUCGUACGUAGACUCGUUUGCCAACUCACCUGUACCUAGACAGAUUGGAGAAAAAAAUAAAAAAAAAUGUGUAAUAUGUGGUGUGAGA